rnacentral:lncRNA from 1 species
UUUUUUAUUGUGUUUUGAAGUGUUUCAGUGUGUUUUGAAAGAAAAAUACGAAAAUUUGAAAAAAAAAUAGAAAAAGUUUUGAAAAACCCAAAAAGAGUCGUUUUUGUGUGUUUGUGUCUUAGGGUACCUUCCAACACAAUGAUGAGGAUUUGGUUUUUAAUUACAUGACUGUUAAAGAAAAUUACAAACAUGGGUGGAAGUUUGAUAUGCUCUUUGGUUAAUGCUUGGUUGUAGUUGUCAUUAACGAAUUCACAUGUAAUCACAAAGGAAACAAAUUAGUUUUUGUAACAUGCUUGAAGGAAGGAACUCAAACUAACGUUACAACCCUGAGAGACUUGAGCCUAUACGUUAUUUGGAGAGUUAUUAAUCUGUGAUUUCUUGUUUUCUAAAGUCGUUGCAUGAUCUCAUUAUUCUUUGCUUGGUUGCUACUUAGAAUGCGUUUUAUCACUUUAAUUCCAAAUACUAGAACUCAUGCCCGUUUCAUUCAAAGCUUUAAAUUGAGUGCAUAACAUAUAACAAGAUGAAGUUGUUUAGUAGUUACCACCAGAGCCAAAAAGCCUUCAUCCCAUGCAUUUGUUUUAUAGGUUUAACCUCUUUGAGCCUUAUUUAGCCUAGUUUCGUUGUUAGCCACAUUACUCCUACCUAGCCUCGAAUAGGACUAUCCAUACCAUUGUUCUUAAAGUAUAGUGGAGCAUGACUUAGAGAGAAUUCCUUUUGAUCAAAUUUUGAUCAAACAUAUUGCAGAAAUCAAGUGUGGGGGAAGGUUAUGUACACGAGUAGAAAGAAAAAAAGAGAAAAAAAAAUCAUGGAAAAAGAAAAAGAAAAGAAAAAAGUGUGAAGAAAAGAAGGGAAAUGAGUUGAAAAUAAGUGAGAAUGAGCUCAUAAGUAUUGGUUGUUGAAGAAAGGGCCCAAAAGGUUUGAAUAUGACCCUAAGCAUGUACGAAAUCCCCUUAGUAUUUCAAGUUAUAUGCUGCAUUCAAGAGUGAAUUCUAAGUUGAUUUCAUUGCUUUGCUUACUAUUGCUUUAAGAACCUGCAACCCUUAUCCUUAACCUUUCUUUGUUAGCCAAUACCCUUAGCCUCGUUACAACCCUUAGACUUUAAUCUUGGUUGUUGUGUGUUUCAAUAUGUGGAGUUUGGGAUUGGUAUGAGCAUAUGGUAUCCCUGGUUCUCGCAUCUAUGUAGUGGCAUUCCGUUCAUGAGAUCAUAUAUAUAUAUACAUGCAUUAAUAAUUUCAGAAAGUGUCUUCUUUGAGUAUAACAUAUAUGAGUGCUAGUCUACAUGUUUACAUCAAUCUUCUCACAUAUACCUAGUAUAGGGAGUGUAGUUAGAAAAUCUAUGUGAAAAUACAGUGUAUAUCCGCUGAGGAAUUGAGGGAAUUCUCUAAGGCAUGUUACUACAUUCAAAACAUUGUUUUAAAUUGAUUAAAUGCGAGCUAGUGAGUGGUGACUGUGAUUAAGUGUGUGCUCGAGGGUAAGGAUAACUGAAAUCUAUGGGAGUACUGAUUUUUAAUGUGUCAUGUUUCAUUGGAAAUCCCUGAGGCAAAUGUUGGAAGGUCUAGGUAAUGUUUUGUUUGUUUUGUUUGUUUUGUUUUGCUCGAGGACUAACAAAAGCUAAGUGUGGGGGAAUUUGAUAGGAGCAUAUUUAUGCAACUUAGUUAGCUUGUUUUCUUGCAUUUUCAUAGUUAGUUCUUACUUAUUUUAGUGUUUUAAGCUAUUUUCUUGUGUUUAUAGGUCCAAAUGACAAAGUUGGCAAGAAAGUGCAAUUUGGAGCAUUUUGAAGUAGUUUUGGGCACCAAAUGGAUAGCUUAUGAGUGGAGCAAGAUGGAUGGACGAAUUUGAAGUUCAAGAGGCUAGGAAUGUGCUGAAAAGAUGAAGAAAAUAAAACCAAGACAAAGAAGAUAAGGAAUCAACUCAAAAGGAGGAAUAUUAUCCAAAACCUUAUCCAACCUUAUCUUAUUCAAACUAACCUUAUCUUAUCGUAUCCUAAUCUUAUCACCUUAAAUCCAGCUGCAAGGGGACCUAAAUAUCUAAUUUCUAGAAGGCCUAUCCUUUCCCCUACAUUUAUGCCGCACCCUUGUCUUUCUAGAACCCCUAAAUUGGUGCUGAAACAUUCUUUCUAGAAGUCCCUACAAAUCUGGCGCCUCCUCUUCUUGUAGAAGUUCUAGAACCUGCAACCCUAAUCCUUUUCCCUCUUAAAUUAGGCCAAAUUUAUCCCUUUCCUUGUAGGAAUUUGUGCCACACCUUUCUAACCUAAUUCCCCUUGGUUUCUGAUUGUUUUAAACCCAUUCCACUUGGGUUUUGGUUACACAAUCCUUUUCCUUUCAGAAAUUGUGACAAAUCCUUUUCCUAUGCUACCUUGUGUUAUGGGUUUUUGCACUAUAAAUACAUCCUUUCUGCCACAAUUCAAACGCCUGAUAGGAGCAUAUUUAUGCGACUUUGUUAUCUUGUUUUCUUGCAUUUACGUUGUUAGUUAUUGUUUAUUAUAGUGAUUUAAGCUAGUUUCGUGUGUUUGUAGGUUCAUAUGGCAAUUGAAGCAAGAAAGUGCAUUUUGGUGCAUUUUAGAGCAAAAAUGAGCUUAAAUUGGAAAGUACAUGCUUGGAGCACAAGGAAUGGACGUGUUUGAAGGGCAAAGGAGCUUAAGAAAUGAAGAAAUGAAUGUGAAGAACAAAGAAUUCAGAAUUAGAAACCAAAGUUUCUAAAGUUGGAAGUUUCUAUUCUUGGAGGUUUCCAUUUUCGAGAGUUUCUAUUCUUGGUUUUGGGCUUUCUAGAAGCCCUAUCUACAAACCCAAACCCUAGCCCACUAAUUUGCCGCACCUAGGCCUUUAAAAUUUCUAAUUUCCUUGCCUUGCAAGGCUUUCUAGAAACCCUAUUUUCCUUGCCUUGCAAGGCUUUCUAGAAACCCUAAUUCAUUGUGGAUCUCUACCCUUGCCGCACCCUAAACCCUAGCCCAUUACUUGUGCUGAUUUCUCUAGGGUUUUGUGGUGCCUAUAAAUACAUAUUUUAGGGUUGAAUCACCGAAUUUUCGUCCAUACUUCCAGCCACACCAUUCUACACAUCCAAAAACCUCAAAAACACAAUUCUAGCCAUUUUUCUUCCUGGCCGCAAGCCAUCUACCACCAUUCUUCCAUAUUUUCUAACCUUCCCCCAUCCUUUUGCCGCAACACUUCCAUUCCACCAAAGAGAGGAGCUUUGCCGUGACCUUUGGAGAGGAGGAAGGCUUUGUCGCAUGCAAUCUUCAACCAUUGGAGUUUCUAGAGUUCUUUCUUUCUUUGUUUCUGUUUUCAUGUUUAAUUUAACUUGCUUUUCAAUUAUGUUAAACAUGUGGAACUAAUUUCUUUUUAGUUAGAGGUGAAUUUGAAGCCAUGGACAUAUGUUUUAUAUGAUUUGAUUUCUUCCAAUUAUGAUUUCAGAAAUUGUGAAUGUGAUUUACUUAUCUAUUUGAUUGAUAACUUGUUUAUGUAUGUGGGUUGAGGGUCGACACUUAGUUUGCAUGCUUAAACUUGAUGCUAGGAUAUAAGGGAAUUUCACCUAAUCGUUAUUAACUUGUAUUCAUAAGUAGUGAAAGUCGCUAGUCACGAUUGCGUUAAGUAAAUCCUAGGCAAGAGUAACAUGCGUAUCCCAUAGUUAUGAAUGCCUCGUCAAUGCUUAUGAUUUCCAUUGAACUUAAUGAUCUUUGAUAUGUGUCUCUAUCAUGCGUAUUCCAUAGUUAGGGUCCUUGAUAAGAAUAAUUUGGUUGUAAUGCGUAUUCCAUUCAAUUCAAUGAAUCUAGGGAAAUCUGAGAAUUAAUUGGUGCAAUCUAGUUAAUUUGGGGCAUUGUCAUUCAUGGUUUGUUGAAAGAGUAAUUGGAGAUCGAGUUGUAUGCAUAUGUUCAUGUGUGGAUAAGGAAUCCUCUAACUAGCUUCUCACCAUUCUAUUUAAUCACAAUCUGUUUUGCUUUACAUUUGUUUUUAAAGUUUUAAUUUCGUCAAAAUCAUUCCCCCAUUUAUUUUAAAGUGUUAGAUUAGUUAGAAAUCCAUUUAGUUGUGUUUUUAAGUGUUUUGAGUCAAGUCAUAGUCCAAAUUCGUCCAAACUAGUGUUAGGUACUCAAAACUGCCCAGAAAGUGGUUUUAAGGCAGUUUUGAGCCUUUUAGUUGCUGUUUUGAGUUUUUAGUUUGUUUAGGUGUUUUAAAACCCUAGUUUUGCAUUAAUUGAGUCUAGUUUAGUGUUCUACAUUAUAUUUUUAUGUUCUUGAGUCAGUUUUACAUUGAUUAGCAUCCCUAGUUAAUCCCCGGUUAGAACGAUCCCUAUUUGCUCAUAUACUACAAUUGUCAUCCAUAGGGUUUAAUUUGUGUGUCAAGUUAAUUUUCACAUCAACGCCCACCCUCUACCAUAUUUUUCUACACCAUUCACCACAAAUUCGUGCCAUACAUCCCUCUAGUGCUGCAGCUGUGCAAGGAAGGAGAAGAAGGAGCCACCUGGAGCUGUGCUUGCCAUUCAAGACAUUAGAUUGUUAUAGUGUUUCUAGGUGUAUUCUAUCUUUGUUUUCAAUGUUUAAAUUUAAUUGUCCUUGUUUAAUUGCGAACAUGUGGAACUAAUUUCUUUAUAGUUGGAGGUGAAUUCGAAGCCAUGAUUAUAUGCUUUAUAUGAAUUGAUUACAUCCAGUUAUUGUUUCUUGAGUCUUGAAUGUGAUGUGCUUAUCUGAGUUAUUAAAACUUGUUUGUGUAUGUUGAUUGAGGGUCGACACUUAAUUUGCAUGCAUGAAUUUGAUGAUAGAGUAUAAGGGAGUUUCACCUAAUCGUUAUGAACUUAUAUUCACAAGUAGUAAAAGUCACUAGUCAUGAUUGUGUUAAGUAAAUCCUUGGCAGGAGUAUCAUGCAUUUCAUAGUUACAAAUGCCUUGUCAAUGCUUAUGGUUUUCAAAGAACUUAAUGACCUUUGAUAUGUUUUCUAUCAUGUUUUUCAUAGUUAGGGGACUUAAGAAGGAUAAUUUGGUUGUGAUGCGUAUCCCGUCCAAUUCAAUGAAAUAAGGAAAAUCUGAUAGUUAAUUUGUGCUAUCACGGUUAACUUGGGGUGUUGUCAUUCAUGGUUUAAAGGAAUAAUAACUGGAAAUCGGUUUGUAUGCAUAUGUCAUGUGUGGAGAAGGACCUUCUAACUAGCCUUUCACCCUUUUCAAUUCACCAAAUUCGUUUUCUUAAAGUGUUAAGUUUCUAUUUUGAGUUUUAAAUUCGUCAAAAAACAAUCCCCUUUCAUUAAGUCUUGUUAGUUGAGUCAUAAUCUGUUUUCUUUUAGUCUUUUGAGUCAAGUUAAGUUUUAUUUUUGUCAAAACCACUUGUUAGGUCUAGAAUUGAGUAUUUUUUUAUUGUUUGUUGCUGUUUUGAGUGGUUUGAGUUAGUUUUAAGUCAUAAGAGUCUAGUUUAUAGUUUUAGAGUCUAGUUUAGUGUUUUGAGUCUUAUUUGUGUUGAUUAGCAUCCCUAGUUAAUCCCGGGUCUAGAACGAUCUCUGCUUACAUCUUUACUACAAUUGGCAACAAUAGGGUUUAAUUUGUGUGUCAAGUUAAUUUUCACAUUAGCAGUACCUGUUAAAAUACCAUAUAUUAGAAUUUCUAUAAAGUUUUACUUUAGUCGCUGAAAAUGACUCGAAUGACAACGUGGUGCUAAAGUGGUAGCACUUGACAGAAGAACGUCUGGGAAGAAUCACUUUGGUCCUCGACAAUACUAAUCUUUCAAACAUAGUAAUAAUUUCGGAUCUUCAGAAGGAAGAUUGUACUCCGAUAAACCCCAUUCCAAGUAGAUUAUUAGCAAAUUCCUUUUCCCAACCUUAGAACACUAAUUCCCAAAAUUUCUUUUGAUGCUGCACUCGUCAUUACGAUGAGUAUAAGUAUGAGAGUACGAGUUGUUAUGCUUACGAUUAGCAGAAAUCCCUAGAGCCGUAAGUAAAUUUCCCUUAGAAUCAGCGAAACCGAGUCAUUAGGGCCAAUUUCUUACCAACCAUCUGAAACCAUCCACCCGAGCAGGCUCUAACCUGUAAUCAGCCUUCGGUGGUGCUGCUCAUGUAAGUGUGGGGGAAGUGUUUCUCAUGUAAGUAGUGUGCCAUAGGCAGGGGUGGAAAGAAAAGAAAAGAAAAAUUCAUCCAAAGAAAAAAAAAAAAAAAAGUUGAAUUUGACCCUAAGAGUUGUUUAAAUCUUUCCCUUAUGUCUAAAAGUUGAUUUUUGCAAUCUAAGUGAAUUCUAAGUUUCAAGUUCAUUACUUUAUUUGCUAUUGCUUUAAGAACGUUUGUUUUCCCUUACCUUCAUUUGUUAGCCAACACCUCAAGCCCCGUUACAACCUUUGACUUCAAUCUUGAGUGUUAUGUGUUUCAAUUUGUGGAGUUUGAAUUUGGUAUGAGCAUAUGGUGUCAUUGGUUCUCGCAUCUAAGUAGUAGCAUUCCAUUCAUGAGAUCAUAUCUAAACAUGCUUAAUAACUCCAGAAAUCGCUUUCUUUGUAAUACAUAUAUAUGAGCGUUCGUUUUCAUGUUUACAUCAAUCUUCUCACAUAUAACUACUAUAGGGUGUGUAGUUAGAAAAUCUGAGUGAAAAUUGAGUGAAUAUCUUGU